AGGGGCAGAGAAACACAUUGUCAGAGGCAGCGGUGGCAAUCGAUGAGCGUGAUGCCCCAAUAGUCACGAUGCUGGGCAUUCGUCGACCUCCAUCAUAGGACUCGAGGGCUUGGUCCCAAUCGAGCUUAGGGCACUGCUCCAAGAGGGAGCACAGAGCACGGAGAUGGGCACGAUGGCCAGUGGAGGGAGGAGGAGUGCAUCAUCAGAGGUGGCAUCAGCGGCAACCACCGAGCAUGAUGCCUCGACAGUCGUGGAGCUGGAUGGGAGGUGGUGGCGAGGAGAAUGGGGAGGAGGGUGGCGAGGGCUCGACAAGGUUCAAAGCAAAAAAAAUGAAAAAAAAAAGAAAAGAAAACACCUGGGGGAGAUUGGAGGAGGAAGGGCGAUGCCGGUGAUG
rnacentral:lncRNA from 1 species